UUUUUUUUUUUUUUUUUUUUUUUUUUUUUUCCGAGU
rnacentral:ribozyme from 1 species